rnacentral:lncRNA from 1 species
AUCAGAAGUGGGAUUCACAUAGCGCUUCCCGUGACCCUCCAGGAAUAUCAAGUGACCCAGCAAGACCUGACACCUAAUGAAUGUGUGAAUAGAAAACACCUAGAUGCUCAGAAGAAUGGGUAGUGAAAUAUUCGUAUUCAUAUACCAAUCAGAGAGUUUUGGCUGAUCACAGGCUGCCAACUGUUCAAACCACAUUCAAAUAAGGGCUGUGACCGUCUACGACAAGCUGGCAUCUUUCUUUAAAGAGGCACCUCUGGACCUGCAGCACCGGCUCCUCAUGAAGCUCAGAACCUGAGGACCCAGCCAUGGAGCGGUCAGCCUUCAUGGAGCAGGAUGCUGGGAGCGGGCUGGUGAUGCGUCUCCAUGAGCGGCCAGCCCUGCUGGUCAGCAGCACACCUGGACAGAGGACGAAGACUUCUCUAUCCUGCUGGCAGCUUUAGAAAGUAGGUGUGUGGCUGCGGUGAGGAGCUCUGGGCUUGUCCGGGCCACUGAGCUGUGAGCUGCUUGCCUGGCCUGCAACAUGUUCCUGUCCUGGGCUACUGGGUGGGGCAGCCUGGGGACAGUAGGGGUGGUGGAGGUGGGCCUCCCUGAAUCCCCAUUUGGGUCAUUGAGUGACCAGGCCCUUAGGCUGAAAUGCGCCCUCCAGGAGAGUAUCUCACAGAGGCUGGGGGCCUCCCUGCCAGAGCAGUGCACUUUCUCCACCUGACCAGGGGACUCUGGCUAUUGUUUAUUUAAAAAUUUUUUUCUGAAUGGGCAUGGUGGCUCACACCUGUAAUCCUAGAACUCUGGGAGGCCGAGGCAGGCAGAUCACCUGAGGUCCGGAGUUCGAGACCAACCUGGCCAACAGGGCGAAAAGUGUCUCUACUAAAAAUACAAAACUUAGCUAGGUAUGGUGGUGGGCACCUGUAAUCCCAGCUACUUGGGAGGCUGACGCACUAGAAUUACUUCAACCUGGGAGGCAGAGGUUGCAGUGAGCUGAGAUCACGCCAUUGCAUUCCAGCCUGGGUGACAGAGCGAGAGUCUGUCAGGAAAAAAAAAAAAAAAAAAUUCUAUCAGAAA